CGCAGUAAUCCCCAACCAUAGUGGGCUUGGAGCUGUAAGGGAAUUCGGAGUAGCCACCCAUUCUGAAAGUUUGAUUUUCUUCUGUGAAUUCAAAGCUAGCUCAGAUUCAGGGAUUGUCAAAGACAUCGUCACACUAUCCAUCUAUCAAUUUGGUACUUUUGAACCUAAGUUUUGAGUAUAUGGCUUGUAUGAGGAGUUUGGCCAUUUUGGCAUAUAUAUGAUGCCUAUGAGUUUAGCCAUUUGAAUUGGCUUGUAAAUGUUGAUGUUUUGGUUUGUAUAUAUAACCAUGAAAGUUGCCUUAUUUUGAGUUAAUUUGGCUAAUUAGAAGUGUGUA